GUCCACCUAAGGGCUGAGUGGCCUGGGUCACGCGACCUUGCUCUCUUCCCGGAGCAAUUCCCGGAGUUGGCGAUUGGCGCGGUGGCGUUUCGGCGUUGCUGACGGCGCUCCCUCGUGACUCCGAUGCCGCCGCGGUCCCAGCCAUGCCCAGCCUCAGAGUACGCCCUGAAGAGGCAGAAAUGGAGCUCUCAGUCCCUGGACCAUCUCCUUGGAUCCCCGGAACACAGGCCUGUGUGAGUGAUGCUCCCGCUGUGACCCACCCUGGAUCUGCACUUCAUGGUCCCCUCUGCUGUGGUGACGCUGAGCCAGAAGCCACCCCGCCUCACCAUCAGCAUCCAGAUUGGGACCCCAGGACUGAGGGCAAGGAGUUUCUUCAGAAGGAAGAAGUUUCUGAGGAUUUGGAAUCACAGACAGAAACAUCAGAAAACCAUGCGAGUGAUGUUUCCCAGACGCCUGAGCUUGGAGAACUCUGUGACAGUGCAUUAGAAAGAGACUGGGAGGUCCCUGAGGAUGAGAGACAGGUGCAGUCCCCCUGCUGGGAGGGGGACUUCAUACCAGUGCAAGUGCUUCUCAAGAGCUCCUCAGGAGAGAAAGAGGUGGACUGUGACAACGUCAAGAGAGGCUUCAGUCUGAGCCCAAGCCCAGUGGCACAUCAGGGAGACCCUGCAGAAGAGCGGCCACAUCUGUACGACACGCAUGGCCAGAGCUUCCCACGCAGCAUGGACCUAAUCAGCUAUGAGGGACUUCACGCAACCGAAAGCCCAUUCAUCUGCAACGAGUGUGGGAACACCUUCCAAGGAAGCCCCGAUCUUAUUCAGCAUCAGACAGCGCACACUGGACAGAAGUCCUUCAUAUGUAAUGAGUGUGGAAGGCCCUUUAGCACACAUUCAGAGCUCCUCAGGCACCGGCUUACCCACCGCGGAGAGAAGCCACAUGUGUGUACUGAGUGUGGAAAGGCCUUCAGCCAGAGCUCCAGCCUUAAAAAGCACCAGAAGUCCCAUGUGAGCGAGAAGCCCUACGAAUGCAGUGAGUGCGGGAAGGCCUUCAGGAGGACCUCCAACCUCAUCCAGCAUCAAAGAAUCCACUCCGGGGAGAAACCAUAUGUGUGCAAUGCCUGCGGGAAGGCCUUCAGGCGGAGCUCCAACCUUAUCAAACACCAGAGGGUCCACACAGGGGAGAAGCCCUUCGAGUGUGAUGAGUGCGGGAAGGCCUUCAGCCAGAGCUCACACCUGAGGAAGCACCAGAGGGUCCACACCGGGGAGAGGCCUUACGCGUGUAGUGAGUGCGGCAAACCCUUCAGCCGGGUGUCCAACCUCAUUAAGCAUCACAGGGUCCACACGGGGGAGAAGCCCUACAAGUGCAGUGACUGUGGGAAGGCCUUCAGCCAGAGCUCGAGCCUCAUCCAGCACCGGAGAAUCCACACUGGAGAGAAGCCUCACGUGUGCGGUGUGUGUGGAAAGGCCUUCAGCUACAGCUCAGUGCUCAGAAAGCACCAGAUCAUCCACACGGGAGAGAAGCCAUAUGAGUGUAGCAUCUGUGGGAAGGCCUUCAGCCACAGCUCUGCGCUCAUCCAGCACCAGGGGGUGCACACAGGUGACAAGCCCUAUGAGUGUCGCGAGUGCGGGAAGACCUUCGGUCGCAGCUCCAACCUCAUCCUGCACCAGCGAGUUCACACUGGAGAGAAGCCCUAUGAAUGUACGGAGUGUGGGAAAACCUUCAGCCAGAGCUCAACUCUCAUUCAGCAUCAGCGGAUCCAUAACGGGUUGAAACCCCACGAGUGUAACCAGUGCGGCAAAGCCUUCAACCGGAGCUCAAACCUCAUCCACCACCAGAAAGUCCACACUGGAGAGAAGCCCUACGCAUGCAUCGAGUGUGGGAAGGGCUUCAGCCAGAGCUCGCACCUCAUUCAGCAUCAGAUCAUCCACACUGCUCCCCGCCUCCAUCUCUGCCUGACGAGACCUCUCGCUUUCACUGUAAGGCAGUGCCUCUGGCUUCAUGUUCCUCCUCAUCCAGCCUGGAUUUGAUGAUUCCUUUUUUCAGGACAGCAGUGCAGGGCUGAGACUUGGUCCGAGCCAGAAGCAGAGAUGGGGAGCACAGCCACCGUCCAGAGAGCUACCUGGACUCCUCAAGCAGUGAGGCAACCAAACACUUGAUAUGGGGAAGUCUGUCUUUACAGAACUGUUCCCACAAAUGCAGAAGAGAUACCAAUAGGAGAAUGUCACCGUCUUGCAAACUCCGAGCGAACUGCACCCAGGCAAUGACUGUCAGUGGAAAUACAAGCGCCCACGUAAUAAGAAGCUAAAAGGAAAAAAGAAAGAUUGAGGGGGGAAGUGGGUCCCUGCAGAGGGGCUCCUAUCCCCCUCGCCUGCUUCCCAGCAGCCUCACCAGCUGAAGUCAUCUAAUUUGCAUGUUGAUGGUGUUUCCCCACCGGGAUGUGAGCUCCAAAAGGAAGGAGCUCUCUGCUUUGCCUGCUGCGGAUAAAGGAAAUUGGGAGACUGGAAGCCUCUGAGUAGCGAGUCACCUCCUCCUGGACAACACGUGUGGACUGUGGAGGGCCCCGUCUCCUCACACCCUCCUGACAUCCAGCAAAGGACCCGGAUGAGACAUACAGGGGUCGUUUCCCGAGUGCAGUGUGACCUGUGGGUCAGUUCCCAGUAGUCGCUGGAGAAGUGUCCCUUUGUGACGUAAAUCGAUCUGGCUGGGUUGGUGUGGUGGUGUCUGAGGGUGUUCACUUAUCAGUGUCAUUCAUCCCUCCGUUCACUCACUGCCAGGCCCUCUUCCAGGCACUUGGGACACGCCAGUUCACAAAAUGAGUAGAAUGCCUGUAGCACUGAUGUGCCAGAGGGGUAAGUAGGAAAGGGGCUCAAAAGAGAUUUAAUUUGCAUUUCCCCUAUUAUGAAUGAUUUUCUUUUUUUUUUGGCCACGCUGCACAGCAUGUGGGAUCUUAAUUCUCAAUUUAUUUUAACAAAUAGGAGAGUAUGUGUUCAUGCACACAUGUGCAUGUGUUAUUUUUAAGUAUACUGUAUGAGGGUUCACUCAGAGAGGCAGAACCACUAGGAGACAGAAAUUAUAUAAACAAUAAAAAAAUAUAUAAAAAACAUGUAUGUUACAAGGAUUACGCCUCACGCAACUGUGGGACGUAAUCAAGCAAUUCCUAUCGGCUCUUGUAUUUGCGUCUGAUGCUGGAGCAAGACAGGGUUGGAAAGGGAAGACGGAUGUAAAGUGGGGAAACCAAGCACAAGCUGGGACCUGUGGUCAUGAGCUGGAGCCUCUAAGGACAGACAGAAAAGCCUUUGUUUUCUUUGACGACGUGGGUGUCCUGCAGAAGGAAGGUGGAGGUGUAGGCCUGUUGCUGUCCUGUGCCACCCAGUGAGCCGGGGACACCUGAGUGGAAGUGGCACCUGCGUGGACCUUUCGGAGCUCACAGCACCUCUGGACACGCUCUGUAAUUCACACUUGAUUGUGUACUGCCUGCUUUCCCCACUCACAGGUAAGGCCACAGGAAAAGGGACUCAUUGGGAAUGUUGCUUGUCUUAUUCAUUCAUGUAGCCCCAGCACUUAGAACAGUUCCUAGCAUGCAACAGGCACUCAAUAAAUA